AUUGAACGCUGGCGGCAGGCCUAACACAUGCAAGUCGAACGAGUGGCGGACGGGUGAGUAAUGUCUGGGAAACUGCCUGAUGGAGGGGGAUAAAUACUGGAAACGGUAGCUAAUACCGCAUACCAUCAGAUGUGCCCAGAUGGGAUUGGCUGGUGGGUGGGGUAACGGCUCACCAAGGCGACGAUCCCUAGCUGGUCUGAGAGGAUGACCGGCCAAACUGGACCGGGGACACGGCCCAGACUCCUACGGGAGGCAGCAGUGGGGAAUAUUCCACAAUGGGCGAAAGCCGGAGGCAGCAAUGCGCGGUGGAUGAAGAAGGCCUUCGGGUUGUAAAGUACGUUCAGCGGGGAGGCGUUACCCGCAGAAGAAGCACCGGCUAACUCCGUGCCAGCAGCCGCGGUAAUAC
rnacentral:rRNA from 1 species